GCAACAACAACAACAAAUAUGGCGGAAUCUGUAUUGUCAAACACGGAAGAAGAAGGAUACAACCAUAAUUAAACCAAGAAGUUUAUGAAGAAGGGAUCACUGGAUUUUGUCACUUUGGUACAAGAAACAGAAAAGGAUAUCAUAGACCACCUUACUUAUACGGAAGCAUAGGAGCUGUUGAAGGAAAUUGCUGCCAGACAGUCAGCAGUUAUCACUGACAGCCUGUCCUGGCCCAGCUUGGACCAUCCUCAAGCUAACCAUGAUGGUGUGUUUGCAAGAAUUGUCCAUUUGGUAGACCAUGAUGAAGACCAGCUUUGUUGUGGCAUGGCCUGACAAUACUGUACAAGCCAGAGACCAAAAAAGGGUUAAGUGGUGACUGAUCCUCUCACCCUCCUUAUCCAGGAAACAUUUCGGAACAACGUGUUGGCACUGAAGAUGUGGAGGACACAGAUUGAUCACAGUACAUCCUUUGGAUACAUGGACACCUUCAACGUGACGACAACAAAACUGUACCUGCCUUUUUUUGAAAGGAAGUAGUUAAUAAAAUUAUUGUUAACAGCUUUUUUAGUCUUGUUGUUUAAGAAUGCUUGCAACAUUUAAGUGGAUAAACGGUUGUUUUAAAUUUGAAUCUUCAGUAAUGCAUUCUUUAUUAAAUGAUGUAAUCUUAUUUCUAUCAAUA